rnacentral:rRNA from 1 species
CCCCAGACUCCUACGGGAGGCAGCAGUGGGGAAUAUUGCACAAUGGGGGAAACCCUGAUGCAGCGACGCCGCGUGAGCGAUGAAGUAUUUCGGUAUGUAAAGCUCUAUCAGCAGGGAAGAAGAUGACGGUACCUGACUAAGAAGCCCCGGCUAACUACGUGCCAGCAGCCGCGGUAAUACGUAGGGGGCAAGCGUUAUCCGGAUUUACUGGGUGUAAAGGGAGCGUAGACGGCGAUGCAAGCCAGAUGUGAAAGCCCGGGGCUCAACCCCGGGACUGCAUUUGGAACUGUUAAGCUGGAGUGUCGGAGAGGCAGGCGGAAUUCCUAGUGUAGCGGUGAAAUGCGUAGAUAUUAGGAGGAACACCAGUGGCGAAGGCGGCCUGCUGGACGAUAACUGACGUUGAGGCUCGAAAGCGUGGGGAGCAAACAGGAUUAGAUACCCGCGUAG